AAGACCUUGCGCUUUUGGAGCGGCCGAUGCCUGAUUAGCUUGUUGGUAAGGUAAAAGCUUACCAAGGCUUCGAUCAGUAGCUGGUCUGAGAGGACGACCAGCCACACMGGGACUGAGACACGGCCCAGACUCCUACGGGAGGCAGCAGUGGGGAAUUUUGGACAAUGGGGGCAACCCUGAUCCAGCCAUGCCGCGUGAGUGAAGAAGGCCUUCGGGUUGUAAAGCUCUUUCAGCCGGAACGAAYCGGUUACGGAUAACACCCGUGACUACUGACGGUACCGGAAGAAGAAGCACCGGCUAACUACGUGCCAGCAGCCGCGGUAAUACGUAGGGUGCGAGCGUUAAUCGGAAUUACUGGGCGUAAAGCGUGCGCAGGUGGUUUUGUAAGUCAGAUGUGAAAGCCCCGGGCUCAACCUGGGAACU
rnacentral:rRNA from 1 species